rnacentral:rRNA from 1 species
ACGCUCGACACCUACGGAAGGCAGCAGUGAGGAAUAUUGGUCAAUGGGCGCUAGCCUGAACCAGCCAAGUAGCGUGAAGGAUGAAGGCUCUAUGGGUCGUAAACUUCUUUUAUAUAAGAAUAAAGUGCAGUAUGUAUACUGUUUUGUAUGUAUUAUAUGAAUAAGGAUCGGCUAACUCCGUGCCAGCAGCCGCGGUAAUCUGAGCGGGCUGGCAAGGC